AAAGGAGGGUUUCUGUAAAAAGCAGCGGAAGAGCCUGCCGAAACACUCAGCCUUAACUUCAGUAUCAGGGAACAUGAGGUAACUGGAGCUGCAAUUUUGAAAUUCAAGAUAGCGGAUUUUUUAACGUUGGUCAUUAAUCUUGGCCUAGCAGUGCUCUUGCAAAAAUUGAUUCGGGAAUCUAGAUUGAAAAUAGAGAUAUGAAAAUGUUAUCCGCAAGGAUCAUCUCUUAUUUCCUUAGCUGAAAAAUUGUGCAUGGAGCACACUAAACGAUGCAGCUUUUGUGAGGAUUCUAUGGGUGAACUUAUUGAACACCGGAAAACUUCAAACACUGGAUGAACUUUACACUCCCAUCUUCACAUAAAAAGGAUCUCAUAAUGAAAUAUCUAGAGGAUAUACGACCAAAUAGAAGGGGAUGGAUUUUUAAAGAAAACCCCUUCGCUCAAUGAAAUUUACGAACAAUAUUUAAAACUCUUUAAUUGCG